rnacentral:rRNA from 1 species
GCUUGCUCCUGGGUGACGAGCGGCGGACGGGUGAGUAAUGUCUGGGAAACUGCCUGAUGGAGGGGGAUAACUACUGGAAACGGUAGCUAAUACCGCAUAACGUCGCAAGACCAAAGAGGGGGACCUUCGGGCCUCUUGCCAUCAGAUGUGCCCAGAUGGGAUUAGCUAGUAGGUGGGGUAACGGCUCACCUAGGCGACGAUCCCUAGCUGGUCUGAGAGGAUGACCAGCCACACUGGAACUGAGACACGGUCCAGACUCCUACGGGAGGCAGCAGUGGGGAAUAUUGCACAAUGGGCGCAAGCCUGAUGCAGCCAUGCCGCGUGUAUGAAGAAGGCCUUCGGGUUGUAAAGUACUUUCAGCGGGGAGGAAGGCGAUAAGGUUAAUAACCUCGUCGAUUGACGUUACCCGCAGAAGAAGCACCGGCUAACUCCGUGCCAGCAGCCGCGGUAAUACGGAGGGUGCAAGCGUUAAUCGGAAUUACUGGGCGUAAAGCGCACGCAGGCGGUCUGUCAAGUCGGAUGUGAAAUCCCCGGGCUCAACCUGGGAACUGCAUUCGAAACUGGCAGGCUAGAGUCUUGUAGAGGGGGGUAGAAUUCCAGGUGUAGCGGUGAAAUGCGUAGAGAUCUGGAGGAAUACCGGUGGCGAAGGCGGCCCCUGGACAAAGACUGACGCUCAGGUGCGAAAGCGUGGGGAGCAAACAGGAUUAG